rnacentral:rRNA from 1 species
AGGAUGAACGCUGGCGGCGUGCCUAAUACAUGCAAGUCGAGCGGUAAGGCCCCUUCGGGGGUACACGAGCGGCGGACGGCUGAGUAACACGUAGGAACGUACCCCAAACUGAGGGAUAAGCACCAGAAAUGGUGUCUAAUACCGCAUGUGCUCUUCGGAGUAAAGCUUCGGCGGUUUGGGAGCGGCCUGCGCAUGAUUAGCUUGUUGGUGAGGUAAAAGCUCACCAAGGCGACGAUCAUUAGCUGGUCUGAGAGGAUGAUCAGCCAGACUGGGACUGAGAACGGCCCAGACUCCUACGGGAGCAGCAGUAGGGAAUUUUCCACAAUGGGCGAAAGCCUGAUGGAGCAACGCCGCGUGCAGGAUGAAGGCCUUCGGUUGUAAACUGCUUUUAUCUGUGAGAUUAUGACGGUAGCAGAUGAAUAAGGAUCGGCUAACUCCGACGCCAGCAGGCCGCGGUAA